rnacentral:rRNA from 1 species
GUCUACGGCCAUACCACCCUGAACAAGCCUGAUCCUAUCUAAUCUCAGAAGCUAAGCAGGGUCGGGCCUGGUUACUACUUGGAUAGGAGAUCACCUAGGAAGACCAGGUGCUGUUGGUG